CAAUUCUAUUGUGUUUUGUUCAUCUUUGGGCUUUUUUGUAAUGUGUCAGUUUUUCCAUCCCAUGAAGAAUUGAGAGGACUUUCCUCUGUCUUUUGUAUUGUGUUUCCUCUGUGUUGUUGUUUUGGUUGGCCUUUUGCCUGGUAUUCUUUUUCUUUGAUUGCUAUUGUUUUAAUAAGUUUGUGCUAUUCCGUGUAUUUCUUUUCACUUUGCUUGUAUUUGGGCAUGUCUCUCAGAUGUUAUUAUGAUACACAGUGAAUGACCAUUUGGUCCUCUUCCAAUCUUCUUUAAGUCAUAUUUGUUUUCUCCUCACAUUCCUGUACCCUAUUCUAAGCAAGAGUUUGAGGACUGGGUUGUGUAGGCUGCCUCAUUUUCUAUGGCCUAAAGAAAUGGAGUUGGGGAAAGAGGGUGGAACAAAGAAGGUGCGGUAAUAAUGUCACAUUUUUUGAAUUUCUAAGUUCAUAGAACAAAUUUCUGCUCCCGAAAAACAUGAUAAGAAAAAAUAGAGGUUUCAAACCACUGGGAGGAGAUGAGAUCAUUAGACCGUUCAUCUUUAUGUAACCAGACUCCUCAGUUAAAGGUCAUUUUCAAAGCACACCUGCACUUGUUUUUUUCUUAUGAAAAUAUCCUGUAUAUCCUUAAUUUGGCAAUAUAAAUGUGACCAAUUGUUUUAAAAACAGAAGUGAUGCUGGAUAUUAAAAUGUAAACUGUUUUCUAAAUGAAAAACUUAAAGGAAUGUAAUUAGAGAAGUAUAAACAGUGGUUAAUAUGCUGCUUCUUGAAAAGACAUAUUACAACUUACAGUCUUUCUUCAUAAGUGUAUGUUGUUACUGUUUAAUCAGGAGUGUGAUUGUAUUCAGCUGUUAAGCAAUCCUAUUAGCUGGGAAAUUGCAUUAUUAUUUGCUGGUCUGUUUAUGUUAUAUUGUUGUUGGCACUCUAAGUUUCUCUUUUUUCUCCAAGCCUUUCUUACUCUGGUCUCUGUAAUCUGUAUAAUUGUCUUUUUUAACUUUUAUCUUUAGAAAAUAUUGAAUAGAGAUACUGGGAGUGAUUAACUGUGUCAGAAUCACAAAGUUCUAGUGCUUUUCAGAUUAAUCCUGGAGACAUUAUGUUGCUGUUUUAAAAGACAGAAGGACCUAGAUCCAUCAUGGAGUGCCACAGCAGGGUUGUGGCCAAUGGUCCUUCCUGCCUAGGGAGAAUCCACAAAUGGUAUCUAGGAAGACCUGCUGCUGACCAGACCAAGGCCACUUCAGUGCAUGACAUCUUCUUGGACUCAUCAACCUUGACCUCAAUGGUCAGAGAUCUCUCUACUAGUAAUUCUAAGUGUUGGCAACAAAAAUGAAGAGAGCAAAAUAGGGAGUGCUCUCUAUUCUGGGGAAGCAACAGUGGAAGAUUUGCCUGAGUAAGAAAAUCUCCUAAAAGUUUUCUGUGUCCAUCUAAACAUUCAUACAUUCAUACAUACUUCAUUCCUUUGUUCAUUCAUUUAUUUUCCUUGUCUUCUCAUAGAAUAUGUUUUCUGAGAUCAGGUUACUAUGUUGCUGUUACAGGAAAUCGGAUUAAUUUUAAAUUUCUAUAUGCAAUAAAACAAAAGCCUUUGACAUCUCCCUUUUAUUUUCAACAGUUAAUGAGUUUAGAAGCUCAUUGAUACGGUUUGGCUGUGUCCCCACCAAAAUCUCAUAUUGAAUUCCCACGUGUUGUGGGAGGGACUCAGUGGGAGGUAAUCGAAUCAUGGGGGCAGGUCUUUCCCAUGCUGUUCUUGUGGUAGUGAAUAAGUCUCAUGAGAUCUAAUGGUUUUAUAAAGGGGCGUUUCCCUGCAUGAGCUCUCUCUCUUUGCCUGUCACCAGCCAUGUAAGACAGGACUUGCUCCUCCUUGCCUUCCACCAUCAUUGUGAGGCCUCCCAAGCCACAUGGAACUGUGAGUCCAUUAAACCUCUUUUUGUGUAUAAAUUACCCAGCUCUGGUAUGUCUUUAUCAGUAGCAUGAAAAUGGACUCAUACACUCAGUUUUAAAACAAGUUACAUGAAGUUGCAGAGCUCUUUAAGAAAGCCAUGACUUGCCCAGACAAAUCAGUACUAGUGUGUUAACUGAACUCAAUUUGAUUUUUCUGGGCUUUGCUUUGUAUUGGCCCCUUCUUGUUAAAUAAAAAUAAGAAAUUAAAUAAAAAUGUUAACAAAUAGUUUUGACAAAACUGAAUAUAAUACACAAAACAUUGUGAUGCAGCUUAAAAUUUAAAAAGAAAAAAAGAACAGCUUCAAGAGAAUUAAGUACUAAUUAAGUACUAAGAGAGCAAUCAUCAGAGCUAGAUACAAAACAUCUAAUAUCUUUUGAGAAACAUUCCUUAUGUUACCCAAUUCUUCCUUACACAUCUUACUGGCUAAUUGAGAAAGCAAUGCAUUAAAAUCACAUUGAAAUGAAUUAAUAUGAUAACUGGAAGCAAUGAGAGGUAACUGAGACAUAAUUGCAAAUGCAGAAUUUUUUUCAAUUUGAAAUUGAACAUUUAACAACCAAUUUGGAAUUUUCUAUUUUUGAAAAUCCAGUAGCUCUUGGAGUGAAUAGACCAAAUGACUCCAUUUUAAUAGGUCUCAUCAUUGAUCUCUGCUUAUGAAAUUUGCUUCAUUGCCUUUGUGUACCUGAGACUGAAAUGCAGAGCUGUUCUGGAGCCUCCAGGUAGUCCAGGAUUUCAGUGCAAACUUGUCUUACACAAAGAGGUCUGUAAAAAUAAUCUGGCUGCUAUGAUUUGAAUGUCCUCUCCAAAACUCAUGUUAAAGUUUAAUUGUCUUUGUGAUGGUAUUAAGAGAUGGGACCUUUAAGAGUUAAUUAGGUCAUGAGGGCUCUGCCUUCCUGAAUAAGUUAAUGCCAUUAUCAUAGGAGUAAGUUUGUUAUCUCGGGAAUUCAGCCCCCUUUCUCUCUGUGUCUUGCACCUGCCUCACCAUGUGAUGCCUUCUGCCAUGUUAGGAUGUAGCAAGAAGGCCCUCACCACCUGUGGCCGUACAGUCUUGGACCUUCCAGCCUACAGGACCCUGAGACACACAAAUCUCUCUUCUUUAUAAAUUACCUAGUCUAUAGUAUUCUAUUACAGCAGCAAAAACAGACUAAGACACUGGUCUUUUACUUUUGAUUUUGUUUCUAUUGAUUUUUACUAGGUACAUCUAAUUUCACCUCUUGAAGAUGGCUGACAUGGUCACUGAACUGAAGCUUUGUGGUGAAGAAACUAUUAAGCAAAUGGGGAGGAAGAGCCAUACAAUUUCACUUUAGUGAGGAGCUAAGAACUAAUUUUAUUCCAAAAUCAAACUCAUGCCAAAAACGGGCCAAUGCAAUCAUUUAGGGAUAAAGAACCUAGAGUUUCAGGCAUGAGUGGAAAUGUGCUGAGGGGUCCAGAACAUGCCACUCCAAAAAAACCCUCCUUGGCAUAAGGAUUGUUUUGAGCUGAAGGCAAUUGAGAAUCAACAGAUGCAGGAAAAAUUCUCUACCCUUUCUUUUGUGCCUAAAAGCAAUACAUAAACUUGUCUUUGUGAAAAUGACAUGAGUUUUUCCCUCUCCUGAACCAGGAUGAAGAGAGCUACCCUUAUCACCACAUAUGGAGAGCCAGCACCAAGAUGAUUUUGUUCACAGACUCCAGCCACUGAUCAAAAGAGGGUGGAGGAAAUGUUUUCCAACCCUACAAUGCACACUGUAUCUCUGUGCAGCAUACACCUCUGUACGACAAUUUCCCUUGUUGUUUGCCUGAAGACACAUGAGCUGCAACUCUGAAUCGGGAAAUAGAACUUCAAUCACUUUCGUGGAGCAAUUGGGGAAUGAAACAACCUUGCAUGCUCCUCUGAGGAGUAUGCCAUGAGAGCUCAGAGGCUACUAUUAUUGGCUGAACAUUGGUGUCAAAAUCUUGAUUGAUGUCCAAAUGCUUCUGGUCUCAUCCUAGACUUGUGAGGUGUGAUCUCCAUAGGUCUAUUCCCAUCCCUUUCCCCUCCACCACGCCUAGUCCCACAUUCUUUUCUGCAUGCAGUGUGCUCUGCUCUAUUGAUCACCUUAACCCAGCUGUGCGCACUCUUCCACUUGUCCUGAAAACAGCACACCCACGUAGCCUUCUUCGGUGAUGUCUGGGCCAUGUGUUGGUGUUGUGCACACUCUUAUUAUGAUCAUUUGAACUCUUAUAACACAUUGUUUAACACAUGUGAAAACGUAAGACAAACUUGCAGGUUUCAGUUAUUUAAAGAUAAACCACGAUAUAAAUGUUCAUAUCUAUUCAAUAUAUUUAAGAUAAGCACUUCAAAUUCUCAUUUAAAUAUCUUAGUCUUGCUUCAUCUAUAAAGUCAUAACUUUAUUAGUUAAAAUGCUUAUUUGGAUAAUUUCAGACUUUCAAAAAGGUUGUGAAAAUUGUACAAAGAUUUUCUAAAUACUCUUCACUUAGAUUCCUGAAAUAUUCCUACAUUAGCAUUCUCUCUCUCUCCUCUCCUCUCUGUCUCUCCUCUCCUCUCUUGUCUGUCCUCUCUCUCUCUCUCAAGGUUCUACAAUUACUGAUCCUGACACUUAGGAUGUGAGUUUAGGUAGAGAUUUGGGAAGUUCAAGAUUGCUCAUCAUUUUAUCUGGUAAUGUCUUUUGCUCAAGUGACACCUUUUACUUCAACUGCUAUUGUUUGCCUCACUAGUUUCACUUGUGGGAUUUUUCAAAAAUGCAUCAUGAUUGAUAGAGUUAAAAUUAAUCUUUCUUGAUGUAAAGCAUAUUGUGUUCAUUGCUGUGGGCCUGCUAUGUUUAGUAUUGCAAUGCCAGUGGGUUUAUAUCACCUACCAGUUUAUCUUGUUAUAACUCAUCUGACUGCUUUAUCUCUGUGAGGUAGCUGUUUAGAGCUUGGGUUCUGAAGUCAGAUGAUUUGAGUCUGACUCUUGGCUUUAGUUCCUGAAUCCUGGACAAAUACCUUCACCUCCCUGGGCCUUCCCUUCCACAUCUUCCAGAUGUGCACAUGGUAGUGCUUAUCUCAUAGGAUUUUGUGUAUGUGUGAGGAUUGAGUCAGACAAAUAGGAAGUGUUCAGUAUGUUGUCCAUUGUUACAUUAAUCUAAAAAGAACAUUGGAUAACAUUUGAAUAUCUUCUGUGCCUAAAAUGUCUAUAGCCUUUCUCUUAUUUAUUUGUAAUUCUCUGCUGUUUGAGUUUCUGACAGGCUCUAUAUUUCUAAGCUUUUAUUUAGUCUUGAUUAAUUUUAGUGAAGUUUUUCUUCAAUUUAGUCAAAAUAAUGUAUUUACCAUAGGAAGUUAAUAGUUAAAGAUAAUUGUUAUGUUUGAUCUUUACGUAAUUAAAACUUGAGAAUUUUAUCCUUUCAGUUCCUAUGUAGGUUAGUUUUUCCUCAAUAUGGCUAAUGUGGGUGGUAUCUUGGAUUGAAAUAUCUUAUUUCCUCAAGUGUACAAUCCAUUUUAAAUAGCAAUUUGUGUGGUUGGUAACCAUUAACUUGAUAGAAACGUUAGGUCUGAAUCUGUCUCUACAAAAUUCAUGUGUUUGGAACUUAAUUUCCAGUGGGGUAGUGUAUUAACUCAUUUUCAUAGUGCUAUGAGGAAAUACCCAAGACUGGGUAAUUUAUAAAGAAAAAGAGGUUUAAUGGACUCACAGUUCCACAUUGCUGGGGAGGCCUCACAAUCAUUGUGGAGUGUAAAGGAGGAGCAAAGGCACAUCUUACAUGGUGGCAGGCAAGCGAGCGUGUGGAGGGGAACUGCCCUUUAUAAAACCAGCAGAUCUCAUGAGACUUAUUCACUAUCACGAGAACAGCAUGGGAAAAACUCAACCCUAUGAUUGAAUUACCUCCCACCAGGUCCCUCCCAUGACACGUGGGGAUUAUGGGAGCUAAAAUUCAAGGCGAGAUUUGGGUAGGGACACAGCAAAAACAUAUCUGGUAGUAUUAAGAGGUGGGAUCUUUAGGAGGUGAUUAAGUCACGAGCAUGGAGCUCUUAAGAAUGGAAUUAGUGACCUUACAAAAGAUGUGUGAGGGAGCUGUUUGCUGCUUCCACCUCUUCUGCCAGGUGAGGAUGCAGCAACAGGAAAACAUGUUGGAAGCAGAGAGAAGUCCUCACCAGACACUGAAUCUGCCAAAACCUUGAUCUUGAACUUCCCAGCCUCCAGAACUGUUCAAAAUAAAUUUCUGUUCUUUCUAAAUUAUCCAGUCUGUGGCAUUCUGUUAUAGCAGCAGGAAUGGACUAAGACAAUUUUAUUGAACAUCUAUCUAAAGAAAUGCUACUUCCUUUACUCAAAAAUAAAACAUGAAGUUUCUGCGGGUCAGGAAGACCUCUUAGACCAAGUCAUUGGUCUGACUAUGAGAUUCAACUUCCAGGAUCCUUUUCUGAGUCUUGCUUCUCUCUCUCUGCUAAAUUUAAGCGCUCCUGUUCACCGUGGAGUCACUAUGUUUAAGUAGAGCCCUGCGGCUCUCACACUGCAUGUCUGUUUGGAUGCUCUUGGGGGCCUUGCAGGAGUUUUAAUGUGGACUGAUGUAGGCAUGAGGAUUCUCAGAGCCCCAUGGUAUGUUUGCCGUGCAGUGAAACUUGAGGACCACGGCCUACCCAACCUCUGAUUCUCUGCAGCAACCCCCAGGGUCACGUGGGGACCUGCAAAGUUUGUUCUAAAAUUGAGGUGAUGAGAGGGGGCUGAGUUCGGAGUGCUACCUCCUUCCACACCAGCUCUACACACUCAUCUCCCCUCCACACUCACACUCCUCUGUGCAGUAGUGCAGGCUCCAAGAAAUUCCCUUAGAAAGAACUCCGCUUAACUUUGCUCUAUACAGCAUUUCCAAACUUAAUAUCAAAUUAGUGCUGUGGUAAUACGUGGGCUUAUUUUAUUAACACAUUAAAUAAGGAUUAGUGGCUAUUUCAAAACACCUGCAACAGCUUAACAUGUGAAAUAUAUGGUUUCUGUUGGUGACAAAGGUACGGGUACCGUGGUUUGUUAGUUGCAUUUAUAAUUAAAGGAAGAGCUAAAUUUCAAAUAAAAAUUACUGAAAAUAAACAUGAGAUUAUUUUUUAUCCCAAAUUCACAGACCCCCUCCCAACCCCACCUUCCUGCCCCAUGCUGCACUCUCUGUCCAUGGGCCCUGGUUAAGGGAAACCCAAGUUGGAACAGGACUCAGGGCUUUUCUUUGACCUGGCUUUUUACAAACACAAGAAAUGCAUGGGCUGGGCAUGGCGCUGGUGUGAGAGCUGCACUUUCUGUAGUGACCCGAAGCCUGAAUUCACCUCGACCUCCAGUUCCUCCUGCCUGGGAGCUGGUGAAUGCCCGUUGGAUCCAUUGGAAGGGGUGAAUCUCCCUCUUGGCUGUCUCUGUCCAGAGCUGUUCCUCAGGGACUUCCUUGCAUUGGGCUCCUGCCAGUCUCAGGGACUUCUCAGUCUCUCUGUUGAUGGCCCAUCAGAGCUCACUCCACUUGUGAAGGCUUUCUCCUGUCAUCCUUCCUGGAAGCUCUUUGAAUACCGACCACGGCUGAGCACUGCACUGCCUCCCUGCCCAGCUGCCACUGGGCUUGGAUGAUUUUCAACCUCAACAUGAAAGGGAAACUUUCAGAUGGCAUCUGGGCUUUGCUAUUUCUGGUGUGGUGUCAUUAAAAGCUGCCUCAGUCUAGCAUCUGUGAUUUCACUUUUUGAUAUAAAAAAGAUAUGAACUGUUAGUGCAAUAGUGCAGAGAAUGAUAUCCAACUUUUAUUUUAUGUAUAUAUUUUAUUUGUGUCUCAUAAAGGGGUUCAGGACACAAUAACCCAAAGCAUGGCACUUUGACAUUUGAGAAAACAGCAGAAGCAGGAAGGUCUCUCUCAUCUUACUCUGCCCUUCUACCCUAAAGCAGGUCAUGAGACCCUCAUUCAAGAAGUACACACCCUAUACCCAAAGAAAAGAAACAUUCUUAUCUCUGAAGACACAGAGACACACAGAGAAUAAUCUGAACACACCAGUCUUACUAAGCCACCCUAUGCCUCCCAGGUUACCACCGUUCGAUCACGCUCCCUUUGUCCAGCCAUACUUCCCCGAGACUGUCUACUCUUCAUCAAACCUAGCAUAAAAAACAUGUUUCCCUAUUUCUUUGGGUCUUUAUUUCUGAAGACUCCCAUGUCACAUACAAAUUAUAUUAAAUACACUUGUCUGCUUUCUUCUUCUUAAUCUGUCUUAUAGGAGCCUCAGGCAUAAACUUAGCAAAGGGUGAGAAAAUAUGUAUCUUUUUAUUCCCUACAUUUGUAUUUAUGUUGAAAUGCAAAGACAGGCAAAAAUAGAGGGCUAUACGAAUUCAGCAGGAUUCUAAAUUAUUAACUUGGAAAGUACUUUCAAACUCUGGAGGAAAGUUUCUAAUUACUUUUGGAAGGAAAGGCAGUAUUAUGUAAGAAAACCACAUUUUCUAUCAUGCAUUACUAAACUAACUACGGAAGUCACAUCCUUAUGCCUUUUUGUAGCUAACAUUGUUUCUGACCCCUAAGAACUGACUGAAGCAAACAGAUCAAGUUGAUUCAGUGUUAGGUAAAUAGGAGGGUGGUGAGAUUUUAAGAUAAACUUACCAGAGCAAGAAAGGAUCAGUGCUUCAAACAGGUGCAAAACAAGUAGGGGAAAGGUAGAAUUAAGCACUCUUGUUUUCAAGUUACAAAACGUUCACAUUUGUUUCUAAUGUUUACUUAAACACUCUAAUACCCUAAAAAAUCGACAUCCUUGAAUUUGAAGGUCAGUAAAAUAUAAAUAACACAGUUACUGCUUUUUGGAAUAUCUCUGUGGAUUCAUUCAGCACUCUUGCUAUUUAUUUAUUUAUUUAUUUAUUUAUUUAUUUAUU
rnacentral:tRNA from 10 species